UUACCAGUGUUAAAUCUAGCACCCUUAACGAGUAAUCGUUAUUGCAAACUCCUCUAAUUCAUGGAAAGCCUAAACAAGUAGAGUUGUAGGUAAUCAUGAGCGAAGUCCGAAAGGAAACGUGCAACGACUAGCUGGAAAGCGUACACUCAAGCGAGUGGAAACGGGGAGCAACCUAAUAGGUUGAUGAUAUAGUCUGAACAUUCAUAGAAAUAUGAAG
rnacentral:ncRNA from 1 species